GACGAACGCUGGCGGCGUGCUUAACACAUGCAAGUCGAACGGAAAGGCCCCUUUGGGGGUACUCGAGUGGCGAACGGGUGAGUAACACGUGAGUAACCUGCCCUUGACUUCGGGAUAACUUCAGGAAACUGGGGCUAAUACCGGAUAGGAAUCCUUGCUGCAUGGUGGGGGUUGGAAAGCUUCGGCGGUUUUGGAUGGACUCGCGGCUUAUCAGCUUGUUGGUGGGGUAGUGGCUUACCAAGGCUUUGACGGGUAGCCGGCCUGAGAGGGCGACCGGCCACAUUGGGACUGAGAUACGGCCCAGACUCCUACGGGAGGCAGCAGUGGGGAAUAUUGCACAAUGGGCGGAAGCCUGAUGCAGCAACGCCGCGGGCGGGAUGACGGACUUCGGGUUGUAAACCGCUUUCAGCAGGGGCGAAGCUUGUGGUGACGGUACCUGCAGAAGAAGCACCGGCUAACUACGUG
rnacentral:rRNA from 1 species